rnacentral:lncRNA from 1 species
ACUUUGUUUUUGGAGGUAGCCUGUGAUGCAGGGCAGAAAAGAGCUGAUGCCUUGGAGAGAGACUGGGAGAGGCUGGAGUUAAUAGAGGGUCCCAGGGUAUCCAAGAAGCUGUCAUCCAGGUCUUCUCCAAUGAAGCUACAACAACCCACAGAGCCAGCAGGGGAACCUACACCUUCGAUGUCAUAUAUGAGCAAACAGUCAUUAGAUGGGCGUCCUUCAUCUUCAUCUGCAUGGAGUGAAUAUGAUGAUUCUGUGAAGGUUUAUUGCAACAUGACUUUUUCAGCACAGCAACAGGAAAAUUUGACUCUGGGUCUGUUCUACAAAAUUAAAGCUUUCUCAGCACAAAAAACAGCAUAGACUGUGAGUGAUGGCGGCCAUCUUGGUUCAUGUGUAAAGACUGAAUUUCAGUGACUACCAACGGCUAUUUCUUAGAAUGUGGCACUUACCCUGGGUUCAGGCUGUGGUCCUUCUACUGCCCAUGAAUGAAUUGCUCCAUCUGAACAUUCGGGAACAGGCUCAAAGCCAGCUGCACUACGAGGAGCACCUCCACAAUCACAACAGAUCAUCAAAAAUGGGACCACUGGUGGUGGAGGGAUAGUAAUACUAGAGUUAGCACUGGGUGCAAAUAAAAAACAAAACAACCUGAUUUUUUAUGGUUAAAUUUGAAUUCGUAAUAUAAUUCUGGUUGGUUCUAAAAUUAUGAAAGUUUCAGAAUACAAGCUGAAUGAUGGUCAGACCCCAAAGUAAAUGGGAGCUUCUGUAUAUUAGACUGCAGUCAAUUUUAGUUUAUUUUAUAGUAUUAAAAAUUACAAAUAGUGGGCCUGGCAUGGUGGCUCACACCUGUAAUUCCAGCACUUUGGGAGGUGGAAGUGGGUGGAUCACUAGAGCCCAGGAGCUUGAGACAAGCCUGAGCAACAUGGUGAAACCCUAUCUCUACCAAAAAAUACAAAAAUUAGGCGUGUAUGGGGGCUUUUGCCUGCAGUCUUAGCUACUCUGGAGGCUGAGGUGGGAGGAUGGCUUGAGCCAGGGAGGUUGAGGCUGCUCAACCAGGGAGGUGGGCGGUGGUUGUGCCACUGCACUCCAGCCUGAGUGACAGAGUGAGACCCUCUCUCAAAAAAAAAAAAAAAAAAAUCACAGAUAGUAUUACAUUAUUAAAACCGAUUAAUCUUUCCAUGUCAUUAUUUAGGAAAAUAUUAAAGGAGAGAACAAGGAAAGAUGAAAAGGUCAGGCAAUAUAUUUGAUCCUUUGUGUUCUCUCCUCCAUGUCUUUAUUGUCUUCCUUUAACAUAUGCUUGCCUUUAUUUCAACAGUAAAAUCUUAUUCAUGCUUCCAACAAUUCUCUGUGAGGCUAUUUCCCCCUAUGCAAGUGUCUUUUCUUUCAAUAACUCUUAUACAAAUAGAAAACAUCACACUGCUUAGCACUGUCUUUUGCUGUUAAGUGGAGUUUUCUUAUUUAUCUAUUUAUUAUCAGCCUCUUAUAUAAUCUAAUCUUGGUAAAUGGUUUUGAAUAAAUGGAUGAAAGAAAGAAUGUGUAAAUUAAAAUUGUGAAGAAGGAGGAAAGGAAAAAAGAAGGAAGUAAAUUAGGGAAGAAGGAAGGUAGUAAGGAUAGACAUAAGGGAGAGAGGGAGAGAAGAAAAAAGAAAAAAAGAGGAAAAGAAGCCCAUGUAUUGGUUUUCUGAAAAUCUACUAGAGGAAACUUUGGGUCUACAGGUAGUGAUGACUAAGGCCCAUAUAUAAUUUAUAAAUCUUUUAUUUACUACAGUACCCAGAGGUAGUCCGCAAUGUAAAAAAACAACUCAGGACGGGCGCGGUGGCUCACGCCUGUAAUUCCAGCACUUUGAGAGGCCAAAGCGGGUGGAUCACGAGGUCAGGAGAUCGAGAUCAUCCUGGCCAAUAUGGUGAAACCCCAUCUUUACUAAAAAUACAAAAAUUAGCCGGGUGUGGUGGUGCACAUGGGUAGUCCCAGCUACUCAGGAGGCUGAGGCAGGAGAAUCGCUUGAACCUGGGAGGCAAAGGUUACAGUGAGACGAGAUUGCACCACUGUACUCCAGCCUGGGUGAGAGUGAGACUCCAUCUCAAAAAAAAACAAAAAAACAAAAAAACAAAAGAACAAAAAAAACCCAGAAAACAAACAAACAAAACUCAACAUGAAAGUUAGGUAUUAUUUACAGUAGUGAUAAUGAGCACUUGGGUAAUUACGUUACUCUUAUGAAGUAUUAAAUUUAAACAUUUUACAAUGUUAGUUGGUAAUAAAUAACAGAGAGAAUGAACUCUUUUCAUAUGUAUUUUAUGUUAUAUUCUGCAACUUCACUAGCAUUUUUGCCUUUAUCUUGUCUUGGUUCAUUUUGAUGAGAAUGCUUUUUUCUUUCUCUCUUUCCCUUUUCUCUGUUUCAUAGAACUUUUCCUGGUUAUUACUUCAAUUAAUUAUGAGCCAGUAAGAAUAAACUCUUAUUUGUUAAUGUAAAAAUUUCAUUUUUUGGAAAUACGUUUUAAAUUUUGGAAAAAGAACUCCAGCUCUAAGCUGUGUUAUCACCAUGGCCAGACUCGUUGUUUAGAUGAGCCCAAUGUUGAUGAAAACUUCAAAAACAUGAGUUAUUUAAAAUCAGAGAAAACCCAGUUCACAAAUAAAUGUAGCAAAACAUAUCUGCCACUGUUCACGUGCCAAGAAAAAUGAAAGUAGAAAAGAUAUUUUAUACAUAAGCGCUCUGACUUCACAUUUUGUGUGAGCGUUUGAUUUAAAUAUCUGAGGUACCUUCUGACAUUAAGAUUUUAUGAUUCCACAUUUGAAAAUGACAAUGUUUGCAUUAAUUUAAUUGUAAUGUGCAGACUGCAACCUACUUACUUUAGAGCUCCUGUUCUCAUUUCCCGAAGACUGUGCCAUGUGGUUUAUCUUGCUCUAAUUUCUAUCAUCAUUCGAGGUAAUGUUAACAGCCACCUGGAGAGUCCACUGGAUUCUACCUUUAUAGCUAGACCCUUGACUAGUGCUACCCUAGUGGCCAUAGAACAUGCUAAAUGCUUCAUGUGUGGUACUUCUUUUUCAUCAUCAAAGCACUGUUUUAAGGUAAGUAUUAUUUCAUACAUGGCAAAAGCAAGGCUCAGAAAGGUUAGGUGACCUUCGGAAGACUCAGACGAUUAGGCUUAGAAACCAGAGUUUAACCCUCGGUCUAUUUGACUAUCCUUUUAUUAAUACUAUGCAGUGUUAGUAUAAAUAAAAUCUCUUUGAGACCUGGCCCCUGCCUAUCUUUUAGUCUAAACUUUCACCAUGCUGUCAUGCGCAUCUUUUAUUUCUUGCACACUGGAGUUCUUCAUCGCAGUACUUUGCACUCUCAUUCUUUUAGGUUUUUGCACAUAGAUUUUUUUCCCCUUGUAUUGUGUUCCCUUUCUCUUGUCCAUCAGGCUAAUUCUUAUUCAUCUUUUAAAAUGCAACUCAGAGUUUACUCUUUCUCUGUAGCCUUUUCUUUUCUUUUUUUUUUUUUUGAGACUGAACCCCCGCCUCCUGGGUUCAAGCACUUCUCCUGCCUCGGCCUCUUUAGUAGCUGGGAUUAGAGGCACCUACCACCAUGCCCGGAUCAUUUUUGUAUUUUUAGUAGAGACGUGGGCUUCACCAUAUUGGCCAGGCUGGUCUUGAACUUCUGACCUCAAGUGAUCUGCCAGCCUUGGCCUCUCAAAGUUCUGGGAUUACAGGCAUGAGCCACCACACCCCGCCCUCUGUAGCCUCUUCUGAUUGUCUUCUUCACUGAAAUAGCAAUUUGAGCCUGCUUGUUAUGGCACUUUCCCAUUACAUUGAGACUUACUGCAAAUAAAUUUUUAUCCUCCACAGUCUUAGAAGGGGUCAAAAAGUUUAAUUUUUUCAUCUUAUAAACCCAGUGCCAAACACAGAAGUUUCUUUAUAAUUGCACAAAAUGAGAAUUUGUAAAAUACGUUUUAUCAAAGAAUCAGAAAACUUAACUCCUCCCCCAGCAUUUUUUGGGGGACACAUAUACAUAGGAUUGCUAAAGUACUUACAUCCUAAGACCAAGAAUCCCAUGAUGAGGAGUCCAAUGCCAG